GCUGGGUUGCUCUUGCAGUGGCUACCUCGCAAAGCGUAAAGACACGCUGAUGUGUUGAAAGAAAAGAUUCAGUCUUGAUGUUUUGUGAGCCUUUGUUGCGCCUGCGUUCGCUGGCGGUAUAUGCUGGCUGUAAGUGCACCUGGGAACGCAGUAUAUCCGUAAGAGUUGACCCUAUGUACUACUCCUAGUUGGUUGCCCCAGCUUCAACGUUUGCUUUCUGCAAAGAAGGGUCUGAUGGCCUUUCCUCUUAAAAAGUGCUUUGCAAAUUAUGCAUUCCUUGCUGCAGCUGGAGACCAAUGUAUCCUUGCACUCGAUGCCCCUUUUAUGGAAUCUUUGGAAGUCGCACAAUGGUGUCGUUGCUGGAGUGCCUGUCUCCUCUGCCUGCUGCAGUCUCCAAUUCAGCCCUGCGCUAGGAGCAGGCAAACUGGUGGCAUGUGUACUGAUCACUGGACUAAGCCAUCUGAAGAUUUCCUGAAGAUCAGAUCACUGGACUAAGCCAUCUGAAGAUUUCCUGAAGAUCAACAUCGAUGGCUCCUGCCAGGAGACAGGUACCGCGGUUGCUGGGGUUUCUGCGCCCGUGGUCCAUGUGCCAGGCUCCCGUAUUCUUCAUCUUUUGGUCGAUGCUCUCCACGCGGAGAUGAUGACGUGCCUGAAGGCAAUUGAGCUUGCGGCUGAAGUUGGAACGGGUUGCAUUAUUAGGGAGACGGAUGCUUAUAUACUCCAAGUCGCUUUCCAGUAAAACGCGUUCCGCAUCCAGCUUAUCCAUGCAUAACCGAGCAAGAUAGCAACAUACUCAGAGAGGAACAUGCGGAAACCAGAAAGGUUGAGCAUACUGGAGUUCUGUCUCGAGCGAAGCAAAGUGUCAAGCUAUAAUGGUGUUUGAUUUUUUGAGCGUGAUCCACUUCGCACGCACACCCUGAACUCCCUCUGCCUCCCAAUCCUAACCCAUGAGCAUGGAAAUGAUAUACACUCAACAUGUCCAUGAGCUAGGAAUGCCUACGCGAGAAGAGAUAAGAGGCUUGGGUGUUAGCUUGUAUUGGCUCCUAGUGCCCCCUUAUAUUGGCACAAUCAUCUAUCUGACCUUGCAUCUUCUCAUCUCAUGUGGUGGGAUUUGGUGGCACCGACAUCAAUAUGUUAAUAAAGCCCAUUGGUUCAUGUAGAA